UAAAUUGUUCAUUAAUUGUGAACUGGAAUGAAGGAAAAAAUGGUUUAAAUCUGUCUUAAAUAUUAUAUAUUAAAUUUAAAUUUUUUGUAAAAAUACAAAAAUGUCAUUUAGGGACAAGAAGACCCUAUAAAGCUUAUUUGAGAUUAUUACAUAAUGUGUGAUUAAAAUCAAUUUGAUUGGGGCAAUAAUUUAUAAAUAAUUAAUAUAAAUUUAAUUUAAGUAAUUAUAUAUUUAUAUAAUGAUCCAUUAAUAAUGAAAAAUGAUGAAGUUACUUUAGGGAUAACAGGAUAAUUUUUAUUAGAAAGUUCUUAUUAAUAAUAAAGUUUAUUACCUCGAUGUUGAAUUAAUUUAAUUAAAUGGUGAAGUAGCCAUUUUUAAUUUGACUGUUCGUCAAUUAAAUAAUUACA
rnacentral:rRNA from 1 species